GUGGGGAAUCUUCCGCAAUGGACGAAAGUCUGACGGAGCAACGCCGCGUGAGUGAUGAAGGUCUUCGGAUUGUAAAGCUCUGUUAAUCGGGACGAAAGAGCCUAGUGUGAAUAAUGCUAGGAAGUGACGGUACCGGAAUAGAAAGCCACGGCUAACUACGUGCCAGCAGCCGCGGUAAUACGUAGGUGGCAAGCGUUGUCCGGAAUUAUUAGGCGUAAAGCGCGCGCAGGCGGAUCUGCCAGUCUGUCUUAAAAGUUCGGGGCUUAACCCCGUGAUGGGAUGGAAACUACAGAUCUAGAGUAUCGGAGAGGAAAGUGGAAUUCCUAGUGUAGCGGUGAAAUGCGUAGAUAUUAGGAAGAACACCAGUGGCGAAGGCGACUUUCUGGACGAAAACUGACGCUGAGGCGCGAAAGCCAGGGGAGCGAACGGGAUUAGAUACCCCUGUAGUCC
rnacentral:rRNA from 1 species